UCUAAUACCGAAUAGGACUCCGGACUGCAUGGUCUGGGGUGGAAAGCUUUUGCGGUGUGGGAUGGGCCCGCGGCCUAUCAGCUUGUUGGUGGGGUGAUGGCCUACCAAGGCGACGACGGGUAGCCGGCCUGAGAGGGUGUCCGGCCACACUGGGACUGAGAUACGGCCCAGACUCCUACGGGAGGCAGCAGUGGGGAAUAUUGCACAAUGGGCGCAAGCCUGAUGCAGCGACGCCGCGUGAGGGAUGACGGCCUUCGGGUUGUAAACCUCUUUCGCCAGGGACGAAGCGCAAGUGACGGUACCUGGAGAAGAAGCACCGGCCAACUACGUGCCAGCAGCCGCGGUAAUACGUAGGGUGCGAGCGUUGUCCGGAAUUACUGGGCGUAAAGAGCUCGUAGGUGGUUUGUCGCGUUGUUCGUGAAAACUCACAGCUUAACUGUGGGCGUGCGGGCGAUACGGGCAGACUGGAGUACUGCAGGGGAGACUGGAAUUCCUGGUGUAGCGGUGGAAUGCGCAGAUAUCAGGAGGAACACCGGUGGCGAAGGCGGGUCUCUGGGCAGUAACUGACGCUGAGGAGCGAAAGCGUGGGGAGCGAACAGGAUUAGAUACCCUGGUAGUCCACGCCGUAAACGGUGGGUACUAGGUGUGGGUUUCCUUCCUUGGGAUCCGUGCCGUAGCUAACGCAUUAAGUACCCCGCCUGGGGAGUACGGCCGCAAGGCUAAAACUCAAAGGAAUUGACCGGGGGCCCGCACAAGCGGCGGAGCAUGUGGAUUAAUUCGAUGCAACGCGAAGAACCUUACCUGGGUUUG
rnacentral:rRNA from 1 species